GUCCUGUCUGAUUUAUAUGUGCCAUUAGUUUUGUUCAGCUCACUCAGAGGAGAUGAGUCUUCACAAGAAUCUGGAAGGUUGAGAGGGAUGUUUGUGCUCCUAUAGCAACUGCUAGCAAUGACAGAAAACCAUUUGGACUGGGAUCCCCUUGUGUGAGUAGGACAAGGCUAAGCGGUUGGUACUAGAGGAACAAGCAAAGUAAACACAGUGUCCAUCUCCAUGGUGACCAUUUCUGGGAUAUGAUGUUGUGAUGAAAAUGCCUCUGUCCUCUACUCCAAUCCUGUGAAGCGUGUCCAGUUAUAUCAGCGGCAGUGUUCGGCCCCUGUGAAGCGUGUCCGGUUAUAUCAGCGGCUGUGUUCGACCCCUCGUUUUCCCUCUGUGCGGCCUCUCCUCCAUAAUGACAGCUUGCGAAACCAGAAGGUGGUGUGGCAUUAAAUCUUCGACGGGCAGUAUGGUCUGCUUUGGAUGCUCUCUGAAAUGACACCUCGUCCACUCCAACUUCAAGGAGAGUCGCUUCAGCAUGAGUUAAAGAGCAAAGAUGAACAAUAUGAUGGAUGUGCACUUGCUGGAUGUGCGCUUACUUUUAAAACACACAAGGACAUUGUCAAACAUGACUACAGGUGUGUAUAGCUUUAUUGGUGAUGACAGAGAUACGUUUUAUUAGUACAGGCCUUGAAAAUAAGUAAAUUAAAAUAUGGCUGUUGUAAAGAUGCUUUUUAUUUUCACAAUUAUGUUUAUACUAAUAUUUUGUUGGA